CAAAUCCAAAAGGAAAGAGACUGUUCAAAUUUUUACAAUUUGUAACAUCGAUCCGAGUCAAAUUUGGAAAGCUCAUAGGUUGGAGGCUAGUAUCACCAUUUGAUGAUGAUGAAGAAACUUGAUCCUUGGCUAAAAUGAGUCGUUCUAUUUCCUCACACCCCUCGAUGAAAAGACCCUUCAAAUGUGAUAAACCGCGAGCCAUCAUAGGUGAAAAUAUAUAUCUUAGCUUCUUGCAAUCACUCAGUGUUAGAGUUGUAAGGUUCUCAAGGGUUACAACUUGAGCAAAAUCGUUCCAUAUAACCCGCACUUCUAAUAAAUUCCUCAAUUCCAAUUUUUUUAUGCUUGAGAACGAGUACCCGCCUUGAACUUGAAAUACUUCUUCAUGAUUCCCAACUACUAUACAACCUUCAUUCAAUACAGGAACAUCAGUGUUGCAUAAUUGGCGGCUAUUUCCCACAUUACUAAGAACCAAUUCCUGCAUACACAGAAAUCCUAAUAAAUGUCAUAAAAACACACUAGUGUAAAUGUUACCCAUAAGUCUUCAUAAUUUUACAUAUUCCAAGUAAUAAAAAAUACUACUUCUCUAAUCCCAGUGCUACAUGUAUCUUUGAUUUUUUUUAAAGGAUAUAUUUUUUAAAUCUAAACCCCUAAAAUAUCUACCAAAUUCAAAAGGCCAUUGCUUGAUACAUUUUUAUUUAAAGAGUGAACAAUGGAAUUCAUUUACAAACUAUGUAUAAAAGAGGAAUGAAUUAUCACAUGAACUAAGCAACAUAUCGAUUUGCUGAUUUGCUAUAGUGCCAAAAUCCAUAUAUAAAAUGCGAACAAUCUAAAUACCUCUAUGAGCUGAGCUUGUACAAUGAAGCAUGAGAUUUGGGGACAAUUUGACACUUUUAAAUUUUUAAGAAAGGGCACAUUAAGUAGAAUGUGAUCACCAAUCACAUCCCUUUCUUCUGUCGAACUGAAGACUUGUAGUAGUUGAGGGCAGUUCUCUAAGUAAACAGAUUCCAACAAUGGAAAUCCCUGAGAUAAAGUGUUUGCAAACACAUAUUUCAAUCGUUGGCAAUCCCCUAUCCGGAGAGUUUUCAAUUUUACAUGAAUGAACCACAUAUUUAGAUAUUAUACCAAAUAUAUUUGUUGAAAUAAAAGUGAGGAAUAUGAUUUAUUAAACAUAAUUUAAGUUUUAAAGAAUUUCUUUACUAAAACAUAUGAAAAAGAAAUCAAUUGAUCUUUGAAUGUACCAAUUAGAAAGAGAUGUAUUUAUUAUAUUUUGGAACUGUGAUACCCAACCACUUCAAAAUAAAUGAAUUAUAAAUAACUUUUAAAAUAAGGUUGAAAUAUUAAUUAUUUUAUGAACAUUAAAAUGAAUUUGAGUCCAAAUACCUGUAAUCCAAAUCCAUCCUUAUUUUUUUCCAUGUUGAAGAUUUGUAUAAGUCGAGGACAAUCUUCUAUCUCAAUAGAUUCCAGGUAGGGAAGUGCUUGACUUGAACACAAAUAUUUCAAGUUUUCACAUUUUGCAAUCCUGACACCUUUCAAAUUUGGCAAGAAUAGAGGAGACUGAUCUUUUGUGUUUGAAAUAUCUAUUUCAUCCAUGUUUUCUGCUUCUCCGAUUAAAUGUUCUAAAGAGUAGCAAUUCCAAAUCUCGAGAAAUUGCAAAUGCACCAAAGUUCGAGCAGUGAUUUCCGAAAAGAGAUAUGUGAGUUUAUCACAUUUAGUUAUCUCUACUCUAUGGAGGUAAUGGUUCGGUCCAUUCCACAUGUACUUCAAUUCUGGCAAUGAUCUUAACUCCAAAACAGUUAAAUUUGUCAGAGAUUCCUGUCAUCCAAUAGUAUUUGUUAGUUUAAUCUAACCACUAAAAUAAAUUGAUUGUACAAUGAUAUACACACUAAUUUUAAUAUCUCACAUAUAUUAUCAAAGCAAAACAAAAAUCAUAAUAAGGUAAAUUAAUUCAAUAAAUUUCUAAAAUAUAAUUAUUAUAUUACAUUAAAACAAAAUAUAAAAAAAACAUAUUAAAGCGUAACAUCAGAGAAAAUAAAUAUAUAAUAUUUCUCUAUUUUAAUUUUUAGUAUACAAAUAAUAAAGAGCGUGGCUCUUGAACAAAAGCUAGAGGCUGCAUCGGUUUGUUUGAAUACUUAGAAUUUCAAAAAUCGAUAAAUUACAAUUAUAAAAAGUAAUAAUAUGUAAACAUAUAUAUAUGUAAUAUUCAUUAAAAAUACUCUAUGAAUUUUAAAAUAUUUAUCAUUAAAAGUACCUGUGAUCCAAGUUCAGGAAGCACAAUGCUUUGUUCCAUGUUGUAGAUUUGUAUAAGUUGAUGACAAUUGUAUAUGUAAACAGAUUCCAAGGAUUGAAUCAAAGUGUUUGAAGAAAUAUAUUUCAAACUUUCACAAUCUUUUAUGCGAAGAACUUCCAAUUUCGGCCAGCAAUAAAGAAGACAAUCAUUCUGCAUGUUUCAAACCCAUUUUCGUAAGUUAUUUAUUUAAAUUUCAUAUACAAUCACAAAUCAAAUCAAAGUCCAUGAUCCAAGAGAUUAUUUUGGGCAAUUUUGAAUCAAUCCAAUCUUCAAAAGAUAAUAUUUCAAGUGACUCGAUCUUCAAUAAUGGGCUAAAAAUCAACCAUAGACUCAGUCAUAGCCCAUAAAAGUCAUUCAAUGAGUUGUCAAUAUAAUAAAUAUGGAGAUUAUCUCUAUAUUGAUUUGGUGCUCUAGGGAGUAGGCACUCGCUCUAACACCAAAAUGCUAGUUUCAUAUUUUUCAAUAAUAUCAAACUGGCCUUGUAAGUUAGCAAUCCAAGGAUAGAAGAAAGGUGGCAUGGAAUUAAUUGAAGGCUUUUCUAUAAAGAAAUAAAACCUAAAUAAAAAGGAGAGACACAACAAUUCAUGACAGUUUAUAAGCCUACAAAUAGGUUUAAUAUAUUUGUGAUAUGUAUAAGCGAGCGUGUGGACGAGAAGAAAAAGGACGAGAAGAAAAAGGAAGAGUGUGAAACAAAACAGAGGUGUGUGUGACUUUGUGUGCACGAAAGUGGAAAUAAACAAGGAGUGAAUGGUACUGUGUAUAACUAGUUGUAGGUAGUAAUUGAAAGGAAGAGUAAAAUAUAUUUGUAUUUUGCAUUGGUGUGUUUGUUUUGAGUAAUAAAAGUUACUUUCUUUAGUGGCUACUACGCUUCCAACAAACCCGAUACACAUAAAUAACAUAAAAAUAAAUACCAAACCAAGCAUUUCACUUCAAAUUGGUUUUUGGUUUUCUUGCAAUUUGUUUCAUCCUUAAAAGAAUGCUAUCAUAAAGCUAAAACAAUUAAGAAGAUUAAAAAAAUUGGAGAGAAUAGGUAUCCCUACCUCAAUAAUCUCGUCUUCUUCGCCAAAACCAAUGACUUGCUCUAGUCGAUCGCAUUCGUUUAUAUAAAGUUCUUGUAGAUGCAACAUACUUAAAGCUAGGCAAGGUGAGAAGAUUGUUUUCAGAUUAUCACAAGAUUGAAUUCUCACAGCCUUUAGACUUUGGAGGCUUGCAAUUGCACGAUGGGAUGGCUUUACUUCCCAUAUCCUCUUCAAUUUCGGCAAUGAAUGUAGGCUCAAUGUUGUUAAAUUUGAGAGCAAUGGUGUCUGAUAUUUCAUUUUUUCAGAAACUUUAUCUAUUUGAAAUAUCACUUGUAACUCUUUACACCUGUGGAUAAUCAGUUGCUUAAGGUUUUGCAAGAACCUAGUCGGGGAAACACCAUAGCACAACCCUUUCAAAGAAACCAUGCUUGCUAUAUUUAAUUUCACCAAAUUAGAGAAUGCAACAGUUGACCCUUGAUCAUUUAUUGUAUCAAUCAAGAAUUCCAUAUCAUUGCAAGAUACUAGCACCAGAGAAGUCAACUCAUUUACUCCCAUUUCAUCUAUGCUUGGCACAAUAUUCUUUUGUCCACCAACAUUGCUCAAACUCAACGCUUCCACAUUGCAAAAUAAAUUGUUAAAUGCACUUAAUGAAGAUGAGAAAUUUUGAAUAUCCAAUCUUCUAAACGCCUCCGGAUUGAUACUAUAAUUUUUAUCUCCAACUACUAUAGCGUACCUUGGUAGUUUAGGGAGCACAAAAUCUUCUAGAGGAAUUUGAUUUGUAGAAAGUGUCAGUGAUAGUGCAGUUAAACGAGACAAUGACUUCAACUCCAAUAAGUUGAGAUUAUUGGCGGUUAUAACAUGUAACUCUUGUAGUGAAGUCAACCUAUUAUAUUCAUAAAGAAAGUAGCAUUAAUUGACAAUCCACAUUCGAUGAGGUAAAAAAAAUUGUAGCUCGUUAAAGUAGUUCAUAAAAAAGAAAGAUGUAAAAAAAAAGGUCAAAAACUUGAAAUAAAUCAAGAUAAGUAAUAAAAGGACGCUAUUAAAAUUAAAUAAAAAAAUCUCUAAAUUUUUUUAUCACUUCAAAGAAAUUUUCAAGAGGUUAACUUUUUUUUUUCUUUUUAACAAUUUAUCUCAAAAUUUCUGGGUCUAAAACAUAAGUAAAUUUUCUUUUUUUUUAUAAUAUUUUUUUUCACUCUCAAAUUUUAUAAGAAAGUCAUUUUACCCUUCGAUUUAAGUUUUUACCUUUUAUAACCCUUAAAUUUGUGGUUUUUUUGUCAAACCAUCUCAAAAUGAAUAGAAAAGUUAAUGUUUUAAAAUUUUGCUGAUGUUGAUAUACGUGAAUUGACAUACGAAUAACACAUUAUCCAUAAUAUAUAUAUUAAAACAUAUCUAAUAGUAAAAAGACAAAGUAUUUAUCUUGAUGUUUUAUUAAAAUUUAAAGUCUUUAUUGUAUUAAACUUCCUUAAUUAAUUUUUAUUGAAUAUUUUAUAUAUUUUUUAUAUAUUUACUUUAAUAUAUAUAUAUAUAUAUAUAACUUAAUUAUAGUUAAUAAAAUUUUUUAUUGUCCUUGGCAAUCCACAUAUCUAUCCACAUAUACUUUAGACAUUACAUUAUUUGUCUUAUAUGCCAAGUCAACAAAUAAUUUUAAAUUUAUAAAAAUAUUCAAAAAAUAAAAAAUUGAAAUUCAAAAAAUAUAAAAAAAUCAUAAACUUAAUAAAAUAUAGCAUGAAGUAAGUAUGGAUUGGAAUGUGGGUGUUCAUGUUUAAAAACUUAACAUUUUAGUUAGUAUUUCCGUUAAAAAAUAAUUCAACAUUUUUUUAAAGGUUGAUGUGCUUUUUUAAAUGUCCAUAACCAAAUUUAAUUAAAAACUAAAAAAGGACUUUCAUGUUUAAAAACUUAACAUUUUAGUUAGUAUUUCUGUUAAAAAAACAAUUCAACAUUUUUUUAAAAUGUUGAUGCUCAAAUUUGAUUUUUUUUAAAAAGGUUCAGAACCAAAUUUAACUAAAAAACCAAAUAAGGACUAAAUGGAUAAAUAAUACAAAUGUUAAGAACUAAUUUUAAAAUGUUUUAAUACUUAUUGCCUUGACCAUUUGAAAUAUAUACUGUGAUAUCUUCACGUGCAAGGAACAUGAAUUCUAAAAUAAAUAAAUAAAAUACCUAUUAAAAUAAUUAAUAGGAAAAUAAAUUAUGUCAAACAAAAUACGAAUAUGACAAAAAGAAAAUUAAAUCUGAUGCACUCUUACCUUGAUGCAAUGUUUGAAUUAUACAUUUCUUCUUCAAAUUCAACACAAAGAUGUAAAUAUUUCAGAGCAGACAACUUCACAAAUUCUUCACUUAUCUCAUCAAUAUUAGUGUCAAUCAAUGCAAGAAUCUCAAGGCUUCUCAUAUUUGUCAGUGAUGAUGACAAGUUUUCCAGCAUGCAAUUAAAACACCACAAAGUUUUAAGAUUUGGUAAGGAAGGGAAUCCUUUCAGUGUGAAGCUGACACGUUGGAGAACUAAAACUUGGAGGGCUUUCAUUUCUUCAAAAUAUGUACCGAAAACCACUAGGAAACCAUCUCGGUUCCUCUUCCUCUUGCCCUCUAAAAACAAAGUUUUGAGCUUUGAAAAUUCCACUUUAUCAGGAAAUUUUUUUAUGAUACUACUACAAUUCCAUAAAGCGAUUGCAGUAUAACUUUCAUCCAUAUGAGGCCAUUCUUCCGACGUAUCUUUUACCAUGAACCUAUUUUCUCCCGUUGAUGUUAGCCAAUGAGCAAAAUCUCGAAUCACAUCAUGGAUUCUAAUCAGGGAUUUUGAAAUUUUAGAGAUUAGACUGUAUUUGGAAAUUUGAAGAUAUAGCGGAAAUUGUAGCUCCUAACCAGAUUAGGUUCCUUCAUUAUGAGGUUGAAUCUUUCAUUGUUGGUAUAUAAAUAUUAUGAAUCGGGCAUAACAAUGACUAUAACUUGUGGGCAGAGUUAUUUUAUCGUGUCGAUAUUGAUAAAAUUAUUAAAGAUAUUACCUUUGUACUGUUUUGAUUUUUGUUGCCCGGGAUGCAAUCUUUCUCUUUGUUUGGAGCCCAUGUUUGUAAGGUGUGCCAAAAGUUGAACUUGAAUUAAAAACAUAAUAUUUAAAUUAUAAAAUUAAAUUCAUUAAUUUUUAUAUUUAGUUUUAAAAUUAAAAUUUUGAUAGAAAUUUUAAUUUAAUUAAUAUUUUUUAUGCAGUAUAUAAUUUAAAGUUCAAAUUUUAAAAAUAAAACAUAAUAUAAUAUUUUAUAAAUUUUUUAAACAUCAUGUUCUUUAGCGGCGUUUGUGGAAAAAAUAUUGCUAAAGAUCAUGUUCUAUCAUACACAAAUUAUAUCAGAAACUUAACUAAAAACAUCCAAGCAACAUUGCUCCACCUACUGAUGUAGCAUGGCUUUGAAAGCUACCCUAAAAUCAUCCAUUUUUCCAUGCAAUGUGUGGUAGUUGACUCUCGCCCUGACUAUCGGCUCCAACAUAUAUUCUCAUUGAAAAUUGCAUUUUGAAAAGUGGUAGACUCUUCAACCGCAUCUUGCUCAACCAAUUGAGGUACCUUAGAAAACAAUUGAAGAAAAAUUUAUAACUGAAACUUUAAUCUCAUGCCAUCAAGGAAAAAAAAAUAAGAAACACAUAUAUACUCAAGGAAUUUAAUUAAAAAUUUUGCAUGUUAUGCCUUCAGUUGUAAUUGUUAUAAUUACAUAGAAUAAAGUAGGAUUAAAGGGUUGUAGGAUAUAUACCUUUGUUUUGCAAUGUACAAAUUCCUGUGAAUCAAUGAAGAAACCAGUAGUCAACUUAGGGCAAUCUCUUACUUUCAACUCUAUCAUUGCUGUGAAUACAGAAUGAUAUCCUUUGGGACAAAAGUGAAUGAGGCCAGGCAGUUCUUCAAGUGAUAACAAAUUUAAUUUAUCAAAUUCCAUCUCCUCUUCAGCUACCACUUCCACUUCUUCUAAUUUGAAUACUUGUUCCAAUUUAGAAUUCCUUCUAACUAUGAGACUUUCAAGAUUUGAAAGAACAGGAACAAAUCCAAAAGGAAAGAGACUGUUCAAAUUUUUACAAUUUAUAACAGCGAUCCGAGUCAAAUUUGGAAAGCUCAUAGGUUGGAGGCUAGUAUCACCAUUUGAUGAUGAUGAAGAAACUUGAUCCUUGUCUAAAAUGAGUCGUUCUAUUUCCUCACACCCCUCGAUGGAAAGAUCCUUCAAAUGUGAUAAACUGCGAGCCAUAAUAGGUGAAAAUAUAUAUCUUAGCUUCUUGCAAUCACUCAGUGUUAGAGUUGUAAGGUUCUCAAGGGUUACAACUUGAGCAAAAUCGUUCCAUAUAACCCGCACUUCAAAUAAAUUCCUCAAUUUCAAUUUUUUUAUGCUUGAGAACGAGUACCCGCCUUGAACUUGAAAUACUUCUUCAUGAUUCCCAACUACUAUGCAACCUUCAUUCAAUACAGGAACAUCAAUGUUGCAUAAUUGGCUGCUAUUUCCCAUGUUACUAAGAACCAAU
rnacentral:lncRNA from 1 species